rnacentral:rRNA from 1 species
GAAUCCAUAGGUUAAUGAGGCGAACCGGGGGAACGGAAACAUCUAAGUACCCCGAGGAAAAGGAACCAACCGGGAUUCCCCCAGUAGCGGCGGGCGAACGGGGAGGAGCCCAGGGCCUGAAUCAGCAUAUGUGUUAGUGGAAGCGUCUGGAAAGGCGCGCGAUACAGGGUGACAGCCCCGUACACAAAAGCGCAUGUGCUGUGAGCUCGAUGAGUAGGGCGGGACACGUGGUAUCCUGUCUGAAUAUGGGGGGACCAUCCUCCAAGGCUAAAUACUCCUGACUGACCGAUAGUGAACCAGUACCGUGAGGGAAAGGCGAAAAGAACCCCGGCGAGGGGAGUGAAAAAGAACCUGAAACCGUGUACGUACAAGCAGUGGGAGCACCCUUUGGGGUGUGACUGCGUACCUUUUGGAUAAUGG